rnacentral:tRNA from 1 species
GCAGCUUAUCGCUGCAAACGUCAAUAGGAGCGGACUGUAAAUCCGUCGGCUUACGCCUACACAGGUUCGAAUCCUGUACCUGCCA